GGUCGUUUGGUACAAAUAUGCCCGCCAAAAAUUCAGCAAAUACAUCCGCUUUUUGUUGGUCAUCGCGAGCCCUACCGCGUAGUGCCUUUCUACUAGGCGGUAUCGACACAAGUGGUUCUCCAACUUUCUUUAUAACCUUCCACAGUGAAUAUUCGUUUUCGAAGUUUCGUUUUCUGCUGAUAAAUUUGCAAUAAAAGAAUUGAGAUAAUACUGUUGAAAUCUGAAAAUUUCACGUUUUAGCUUUUAAGUUUGUCUAUUUAAUCACUCCUUAUCACUAGGUUAACGUGUAUGUUGCCAUCGGCUUUGAAUAAAAUCCGAAUUUCAUCCGUAUAGUUUACACAUUUCGCGAAGUGAGGAACUUCUUUGCUGUUUUUGUGAGCAAAUGUUUGUAGUAAAGUCACAAACUUUUCGGUUUCUGUGUCGUUGUUCGGCUGUUUUCAAGCUUACGUUCAACGUGAUUUCCUGUUGUAAGUCAGCGUGGAAGCUCUUCCAAGCAGCCAAUCAACUAAUGCUGAAUGGUCUGAUUGAACAUCAAAGAAGUGCUGACUAACAAUUUUUCCAAUUCAAGAUAACACAUUGCCAGGAACAACCCGUUUCAAGCGGAUGGAAGCAUAUACUUCGUUAAAGAUGACUUCGUGAACUACAGCGUAUAAUAAAAUAGAAUUUCCUCGUUCGAAUGAAACAGCUUUUUAUCUAUAGGUCGAUCACUAAGUUCUUAUAAAGGUACGAAUUUGCAUCGGACUUAAUCCGAUUCGCUAUUUAAUCAAAUAAAUAAAGUAGGGAAGAGAAGUCAUUUGGGAAAGUUUUAUAAGCGUAACGAACUCCUAGAAUUUUAAUCAGUUAAGUAAAAUAGGCAAUAGUCCGUGAAGUGAACUGUUCUUUUUGCAUUUACAGUGUACCUCGACCACUAAUCUGAUUAAAAAAAACAUGAGGUUUUUAUUUGGCAGUUACCGUGUAAUGGUAAAUAAAACAGCUUUCAGUGGAGAUGCUGGCAAUUCAUUUACAUCAGAAAUAAGCGACACUUCCAUGAGUUCAAUUCAUAGAAAUUGAAUUGUUCAAUUGUUCUUCAUUUGUUCUUUUCUGUUAUUUUUGAUUUAUUGCAGGUGACCAUUUAUUUACAAUAAUAAUUAGCCUAAAAAUGUGUAACUGUAUCCAUUGGUAGUUGUUUUUGUAAUUUCGUUUACCAUGUGAAACAUUGUCACAAACAAGCUCACUGGACCAAAAAUAUCUGCUAUUCUAUUAUUUAAAUUUGUAAUUGUUUGAAACAUAGCAAAUACGGGAUACAUCCAAUUUUAUACAUAAAAUGCAUCAAGGAGUUCGGUUUAAUGUUUGAAUUUAUUUAUGUACAUAAAUAAUAUAUGUAAAGGAUUCACGAGAUUUUAAAUGAUCAACUUUUUUUUUAUUAAAAAAAAACGUUUACUUAAAAAUGAAUGGCGUACAAAUAACGUGUUCAAGCUAAGUCAAGUAGUAUAAAAAACAUCAGCAAAUUUGCUUAUAAUUUUUUAAGAUUUUAUUUCUGAAGAAUCAAUUCUUCAAUCAAUAAAGGUUGAAUGAGAACACACUCUCAAAAAAGUACGUAAAGGCAAGAUGGAAUUAAAUUCAUAGCUUAAAACACUUUGAUUUUAAUCUCGUACAUAAAGCGCCCACUUUUUCUGAAAUUGGUUGAUGCGUUCAAUACGAAUAUAGACAGUAAGUUAUUUAUAAAAAGUCGAUACAAUUUUUUAUUGUCUAGUUAUAUUCACAUUUUGGAGUAGUUUGGUGGGUUUCUUAAUUAUUAGCUAAGCGUGACACCACUUUCAUAUUUUUCAUUUUUAAUUUCUUCCUACUUAUUACAUACAUAUUUAUAUCUUUCAAUUGUUGUCUUUUUUGUAUGCAUUUUCAAACUCCAUGUUCACAUUAAUCGGAAUUUCUAAGUCAAAAUUGUAUCAUCCGUACAAACCUAAACCGUAUCUAAAAAAUUAUCCUGAUUGUAAACCUAAGAGCAUAACAAUAUUCAACUGAACUAAAAUUUGCAAUAAUUAGCAAAAGGUUGAAGUUAAAAAGCACUAGGUAUAUAUUUAGCAACUCCGUUAAAAUUGAUUAAUUACAGAUUAUUUUGGCUUGUGGCAGGAGUAAUUUAUAAAAAUCAUAGUGCUUGGAACCUGUAUAAGGAAUAUAAAUUUGCAAAUCAUGCAAAUCGGCUUUCUAGACUAAUAAUUUUAAACAGAAAUUCGUGAGCUAUUAAAAUACAUUUUAACCCACGCUUAAAA